rnacentral:rRNA from 1 species
AUUGAACGCUGGCGGCAGGCUUAACACAUGCAAGUCGAGCGGAGAUGAGGUGCUUGCACCUUAUCUUAGCGGCGGACGGGUGAGUAAUGCUUAGGAAUCUGCCUAUUAGUGGGGGACAACAUUCCGAAAGGAAUGCUAAUACCGCACACGUCCUACGGGAGAAAGCAGGGGAUCUUCGGACCUUGCGCUAAUAGAUGAGCCUAGGUCGGAUUAGCUAGUUGGUGGGGUAAAGGCCUACCAAGGCGAAGAUCUGUAGCGGGUCUGAGAGGAUGAUCCGCCAAGCUGGGGCUGAGACACGGCCCAGACUCCUACGGGAGGCAGCAGUGGGGAAUAUUGGACAAUGGGGGGAACCCUGAUCCAGCCAUGCCGCGUGUGUGAAGAAGGCCUUAUGGUUGUAAAGCACUUUAAGCGAGGAGGAGGCUACUGAGACUAAUACUCUUGGAUAGUGGACGUUACUCGCAGAAUAAGCACCGGCUAACUCUGUGCCAGCAGCCGCAGAAAGAC